AUGAACGCUGGCGGCGUGCCUCAUACCUGCCAGUCGAGCGAACGGACGAGAAGCUUGCUUCUCUGAUGUUAGCGGCGGACGGGUGAGUAACACGUGGAUAACCUACCUAUAAGACUGGGAUAACUUCGGGAAACCGGAGCUAAUACCGGAUGAUAUUUUGAACCGCAUGGUUCAAAAGUGAAAGACGGUCUUGCUGUCACUUAUAGAUGGAUCCGCGCUGCAUUAGCUAGUUGGUAAGGUAACGGCUUACCAAGGCAACGAUGCAUAGCCGACCUGAGAGGGUGAUCGGCCACACUGGAACUGAGACACGGUCCAGACUCCUACGGGAGGCAGCAGUAGGGAAUCUUCCGCAAUGGGCGAAAGCCUGACGGAGCAACGCCGCGUGAGUGAUGAAGGUCUUCGGAUCGUAAAACUCUGUUAUUAGGGAAGAACAUAUGUGUAAGUAACUGUGCACAUCUUGACGGUACCUAAUCAGAAAGCCACGGCUAACUACGUG
rnacentral:rRNA from 1 species